CGGGGUGCAGCAGGCGCGAAAACUUUACAAUGCUGGAAACAGCGAUAGGGGGACUUUGAGUGCCAGGAUACAAUUCUGGCUGUCGUCGUGCCUAAAAAGCACGGCAUAGCAAGGGCCGGGCAAGACCGGUGCCAGCCGCCGCGGUAACACCGGCGGCUCGAGUGGUAACCGCUAUUAUUGGGUCUAAAGGGUCUGUAGCCGGCUGAAAAAGUCUCUUGGGAAAUCCGGCAGCUUAACUGUCGGGCUUUCAGGAGAUACUCUUCGGCUCGAGACCGGGAGAGGUGAGAGGUACUUCAUGGGUAGGGGUGAAAUCUUGUAAUCCUUGAAGGACCACCAGUGGCGAAGGCGUCUCACCAGAACGGAUCUGACGGCAAGGGACGAAAGCUAGGGGCACGAACCGGAUUAGAUACCCGGGUAGUCCUAGCCGUAAACGAUACUCGCUAGGUGUCGGCCACGGUGCGACCGUGGUCGGUGCCGUAGGGAAGCCGUGAAGCGAGCCACCUGGGAAGUACGGCCGCAAGGCUGAAACUUAAAGGAAUUGGCGGGGGAGCACAAGGGCGAUUCGCGG
rnacentral:rRNA from 1 species